GUUUAGUCAGCUCUCUGCAUCUGCCAGUUCCAAAUGCCGAGAGUUAACCAACCCUAAACAGCAGAUAUUCAAGAAAAACCCUGGGUCCAUCCUAAACGUGAACAGAGCUCCUCGCCGCUGCUCCCUUCGCAGAGCAGAGCCAGUGCAGAUGAGCACUGAGCCAGCAGCGACCACGAGUUCAGGGCCCAGACUAGGGAAUGGUGCUGCCCACAGUGGGCUGGAUCCUCCUACAUCAAUCAGCAAUCUAGACAACUCGCCCAGAUGUGCCUACAGAUGAACUGAACUAGAUAAUUUCUCACUGAGAUUCUCUCUUCCCAGGUGAGUCAACAGUUGGAACUAACCAGCACACCGCCUUAGGACACAGUACCACCAUCUAAAUUAAAUCUCAUCCGUUACUAACAGAUGCCUAACCCUGGAGGCUGGGGGUUAAGUCUGUUUCCAUCCACACUGCCAUCGCCCAGGUCCAGGGAAGGAGGACACUGUAGAAAGCUGGGAGGACCACGAUGGUCACAUUUACAAUGGGUGUUAUGCCUGCAUUUGUGCCUGCACACCAGAAAAAGGACCAGAUCUCAUUAAGGAUGGCUGUGAGCCACCAUGUGGUUGCUGGGAGCUGAACUCAGGACCUUUCGAAGAACAGCCAGUGUUCUUAACCUCUGAGCCAUCUCUCCAGUCCCACAUUUACAGAUUUUGUUCUUUGUUAUGAUAAUUUUCUCCAAGGGCAUAAAUAGAAAUUUCAACAA